CACCAAAGCAGUUUGGUGAAUCAUACCACAGCUGGUUUUUAUUAUGACAGGCUUUUUCCGUGGGAACAAAGAUAUGGAGUCACUUUUCAGAGUCUUAUAUAUGGACAGCUCUUUCUACAUAUCAUCACAUCAAUCUUGAGAAUUAAAUUAAAUCUGCUUUAGUAAUUCAUAUAGAAAUUACAUUUACCAACUUUUUUCUCUGUUCUUAGUUUAUCCCUUCAGGACCUAGUGCUUCCAAGCGGUAAAUCAGCAUGAGAUAAAUGCUGAGUUCCUACAAAGCAGUGUGACAAGCACAAUGUAAGCCCAUCUUAGGUGAAAUGCAAUGGUACCAUUCAGUGCAAACUCUCUGAUUCCCAGUCCCCACACUUUUCCUGUUAUUCUGAUGAAAAGCCUAAAUACAUCUCCUUUCAACAAUUGACUGUAAUCACAUUUUACCUGCCUUUUCUGAAGGGCAUUGAGCCAGGCUGUUAAAAGGCAAACAAAGAGAAACAAGCAUCUUGCAGAGCAUGCCUGGCUCUUGUCUUGGGUAUGGAACAGGCUCCAGGUCAGACACAGUGAGUCACAGACAAAGAUGUGCACCUAACAAAGGAGGCCCUGAAGCAAUGUGGUACUCCCACGGUGAAAGGAAAUUUUUUGUUGUCAUACAUUGCUUAUCAGAAGUACUGUAUGGAGAAGUUAAAGCAACUCCAGACAAGCUCACAUCUGAAGGAGCUCCACAGGUGGUUCUAUAAAGGGUGUUUAUCAAGUCACCUGCCACCCAUGAAGUUUAACUUACUCAUAUUCACCUUGGCAUUUCCAUGCUCAACUGCAGUGAUUUAAUGACAAGAAGAUAAGGAAGAAAAGAGUUCUUUUUGUCUCUACUUCUCCAUCACAUAUGUCAUCUAUUUUCUGCCACCCUUAGUACAGAUCUAAUUUAAUUCAUGAGAAGGGGAAAAAACCAACAAAACCUAUCUUCUCUUUUUCUCUUAGAUGGAAAUAUGAUCUAAAUGGCCUAGAAACAUUAGACAGAUAGGUUUUCAAAGGAAAUAAAAAUAUAACUGUUUAAAAAUAUAACA
rnacentral:lncRNA from 1 species